rnacentral:rRNA from 1 species
AGUGAACGCUGGCGGUAGGCCUAACACAUGCAAGCCGAACGGCAGCACAGUAAGAGCUUGCUCUUACGGGUGGCGAGUGGCGGACGGGUGAGGAAUGCAUCGGAAUCUACUUUUUCGUGGGGGAUAACGUAGGGAAACUUACGCUAAUACCGCAUACGACCUACGGGUGAAAGCAGGGGAUCUUCGGACCUUGCGCGAUUGAAUGAGCCGAUGUCGGAUUAGCUAGUUGGCGGGGUAAAGGCCCACCAAGGCGACGAUCCGUAGCUGGUCUGAGAGGAUGAUCAGCCACACUGGAACUGAGACACGGUCCAGACUCCUACGGGAGGCAGCAGUGGGGAAUAUUGGACAAAGGGCGCAAGCCUGAUCCAGCCAUACCGCGUGGGUGAAGAAGGCCUUCGGGUUGUAAAGCCCUUUUGUUGGGAAAGAAAAGCAGCAGGUUAAUACCCCGCUGUUCUGACGGUACCCAAAGAACAAGCACCGGCUAACUUCGUG